rnacentral:lncRNA from 1 species
AAUCCUUUAUGUCACGGCCCCAACCCAAGAUCACGAGCCAGGGGUCGCAGCAACCACCGCAUACUCAUAGAAAACUCUCCCAACAAGCAUUCAAGGCAUCUCAACAUGAUAUCAUAAACAAACAACGAAAUAAAUUUAAAUAAUUAAUGUUCAAACAUUAAUUCAAAUAACUAAAUCAAAGCUAAAUGUCUCACAAAACCAACAACAUUCUAAAGUCUGGCAUCAAAC